GGGGAGAGAGAGAAUCUUGAGUAGGCUCUAUGUUCAACCCAGGGAUCAUGACCUGAGCUGGAAUCAAGAGUUGGACACUUAAUGGGCUGAGCCAUCCAGGAGUGCCAAAAGACAGGUGAUUUCUGCAUGCUGAUCAUGUGUCCUCCAACCUUGCUGAACUUGUUUAUUAGUUCUAAUAGUUAUUAGUGGAGUCCUUGGGAUUUUCUGUGUAUAAGAUCAGAAUCCAUCACCUGAAAAUAUAGUUUUACUUUUUCCUUUUCUAUCUGAAUGCCUUUCAUUUAUUUUUUCUGUCUGAUUGUCGCAAAUGGAACAUCUGUACAAUGUUGAACAGAAGUAGUAAAAGCAGACAUCCUUGGCUUAUUCCUGUUUUUAAGGAAAGUUUUCAGUCUUUUACCAUUAUGUGUGGACUGUAUUAAUAUUUUAAUGAACUACUUUUGAGCCACUAGUUCUUUUUUUAAAACUUUUGGAAAUAAGGUGCAAUGUGAUAGUGGCAAUGAAAAUGCAAAUUUAAUCAUAGUUCAGUCAGUGUUCUUGGUUGCAAGCAACAGAAAUUAACUCUAAGUGAUUAAGCACAAAAGAAAAUUUACUAAGGCGAUAUUGCUGGGAAUGAUGGAGAAGUAGGCUCUGAAAAUAGUCAAAACAAGGGGUGUCCCAGCAGUAACCAGAACCACAGCCUAAAUAUUACCAUAAAUCAGUCCAGGAAGAUAUUAUGACUAUGACUGCUGAGCCAUCGAAUGACAGAGAUUGGACAAUGUUCCCCAGAGGCCCUGGACAUUGCCCCACUGCUAAAAGUGUAGCCCCUGCAAAUGGAUGUUUCUGCCACCACUACCGUCAGGCACCAGGCACCACAACCAGUUCCCGAUUCUUUGUGUCACUUGCUCUCAAUCCAAAGUUGGAGAAAGGAGGGUACAAGUUCACUUCUCCUCUUGUCUCUCUUACCUGUAGACGUUUCCCAGUGGUGAGUGGGUAUAGAGAUCCCCUGUUCACAGCUCACCUUUGGAAUAAGACUGGGGAAGUUCAAGGUGCAGCAAUCUGGUUGGAAGGAGGUCUUGUGUUGAAACUGCAUUUACAGCGUUAACAAUUGGUUUUCCUUAGAUGUAUAUUUACUUGGGGUGGCUUUGGGCAUAUACUGGAGAUUAUGGAGAGGCUGGUGGUGGCGAACUCCUCCACAAUAAGUCACUCUUUGGCAUAUAUAAUUCAGACAUAGCCAGGUUUAAAUCCUGGCUGAGCCACUUAAUUUAGUUAUGCAGCUUAGGAAAAUUAUUUGAGUUUUUUCAGUCUCAUUUUCUUUGUCUAGGAAAUGAAGGCAUAAUAGUAUCUCUUUUACAGGGUCAUCGUGGGAGUUAGAUGGACAAGGAACAUAAAGUGGUUAAGACAGUGUCUUAAUAACUGGUUGCUAUUGUUCAUAUUCCUGUGUCAGUCCAUUUCUUGGCUACCAGGCUCUUUUCCUUGGAGUCAGCAACAGCCCCUGUUUUUCACUCUAGCUUUUGAACCAUCUCUGGCUCCUAGUCUUUUGUAUUUCAGCUCCCAGCCAGGGCCAAUGUUGUUGAACCAGGGUAUCUGAUCUACUCAGAAGCAGCAUGGCCUCCUAUUGAAUUUGGUAUUGGACUUCUAGUCUUGGCCAUGCUAUGGGUUGAAAGCUGUCUGGCUUAGAAAUGUCUCUCUGCCCCUUCCACAGUUAGCCAUGGCACAUGGCACAUGGCCAUGGCACGAAAGAGGGCAGAAGAAUCAGGUGUUAUAUGCAGAGCCUCUGGAGUUCAACUGCCUAGACUCAAACCCACUCACCUCCAUCACUAGGACUUUCUACGGUAGCAGAAAGGGAGUGAAUCCAGAAUCCAGAUUAAUGUGGAGACACCGCUCUGGGAAACUCAGCUUCCAAACCCACUCUACCACUUACUAGUAAGGCAACUCUGAAGACUUAUUUAACCCUUCUAAGAUAGUCCCCCCGUUAUUAAAUGGGGGGUUAUUAAAUGGUGGCUUACUAAUAAUAAUUUUACAUAGUUACUGUGCAAAUGAAAAUCAAAUAAACUGCAUAAAGUACUUAUGUCCUUGCCUUGUACAAUUUUUAAGCAUCAUUUAAACAUUAAAUAAAAAUUGGUUCUAA